rnacentral:rRNA from 1 species
CCUACGGGUGGCAGCAGUGAGGAAUAUUGGUCAAUGGACGAGAGUCUGAACCAGCCAAGUAGCGUGAAGGAUGACUGCCCUAUGGGUUGUAAACUUCUUUUAUAUGGGAAUAAAAUGUUCCACGUGUGGGAUUUUGUAUGUACCAUAUGAAUAAGGAUCGGCUAACUCCGUGCCAGCAGCCGCGGUAAUACGGAGGAUCCGAGCGUUAUGCGGAUUUAUUGGGUUUAAAGGGAGCGUAGGUGGAUUGUUAAGUCAGUUGUGAAAGUUUGCGGCUCAACCGUAAAAUUGCAGUUGAAACUGGCAGUCUUGAGUACAGUAGAGGUGGGCGGAAUUCGUGGUGUAGCGGUGAAAUGCUUAGAUAUCACGAAGAACUCCGAUCGCGAAGGCAGUUCACUGGACUGCAACUGACACUGAGGCUCGAAAGUGUGGGUAUCAAACAGGAUUAGAUACCCUUGUAGUC